AAAAACAUGGCUCCUUGUUUAUAAUACAUAAGGAGUCGGACCUGCCCAGUGAAAUUUUUUAACGGCCGCGGUACUCUGACCGUGCAAAGGUAGCAUAAUCAUUUGCCUUAUAAUUGAAGGCUAGUAUGAAUGGUUUGACAAGAAUGUAGCUGUCUCUUUAUAAUUAAAUAGAAUUUUAUUUAUAGGUGAAGAAGCCUAUAUUAAAUUAAAAGACAAGAAGACCCUAUCGAGCUUGAAAGAAACUAGUAGAGUAAUAAUUAAUGAUAUCAAAAAAUUUACUAUUAGAAAUUUUAGUUGGGGCGACUAAGGAACAAAAAAAGCUUCCUUUAAAAACUAAAAACUAAACAAGUAUUGAUCCAAAACAUUUUGAUUAAAGGAAUUAGUUACCGUAGGGAUAACAGCAUUAUCUUUUUUAAGAGCUCUUAUCGAAAAAAAGGUUUGUGACCUCGAUGUUGGACCAGAAUAUCCUAAAGAUGCAGCAGUCUUUAAGGGUUGGUCUGUUCGACCAUUAAAAUUCUACGUGAUCUGAGUUC
rnacentral:rRNA from 1 species